GGGCCCGUAGCUCAGCUAGGUGGAGCGGCAGGCUCUUAACCUGUUGGUCGUGGGUUCGAAUCCCACCGGGCCCG
rnacentral:tRNA from 1 species